AUGGGCGAUGAUCAGCGGGAGGAGAAGACGGAGUCCUGUUUCAAUAACGGCGGUGAGUACGACAUGCUCCAUGAUCAUUGUGCUGUGAGCUGCCACUAUGAAUCUGAAUCUGAUAUCUUCGGGGACUGGCCGCUCACGGGAGAUCCAAUUCUGUGGGAUGACAUCCGCUCAGAGAACAGCGACGUUUACGUCGCCCCGGAGUCCGAUGAAUGUGAUAGGUUCGCAGACAACGAGGAUGCCGAUCUCCCUCCUGUUCCACUAGAUGUGUUCCCUGAGGCAACAGGUUUAUGCGUGGAAAGAGGUUGCUGCCACCACAUUGAAUACAUGACCCAUGACACUUCCACCACUAAUUCAGAUCUCGGAUAUAGCGGACCAGACUGA
rnacentral:rRNA from 1 species